GAGAGGAGAGGUAACGAACAGAGAGGUGGAGAGAGAGAGAAGAGGUAACGAACAGAGAGGUGGAGAGAGAGAGGAGAGGUAACGAACAGAGAGGUGGAGAGAGAGAGGAGAGGUAACGAACAGAGAGGUGGAGAGAGAGAGGAGAGGUAACGAACAGAGAGGUGGAGAGAGAGAGGAGAGGUAACGAACAGAGAGGUGGGGAGAGAGAAGAGGUAACGAACAGAGAGGUGGAGAGAGAGAAGAGGUAACGAACAGAGAGGUGGAGAGAGAGAGGAGAGGUAACGAACAGAGAGGUGGAGAGAGGAGAGGUAACGAACAGAGAGGUGGAGAGAGAGAGAGAAGAGGUAACGAACAGAGAGGUGGAGAGAGAGAGAGGAGAGGUAACGAACAGAGAGGUGGAGAGAGAGAAGAGGUAACGAACAGAGAGGUGGAGAGAGAGAAGAGGUAACGAACAGAGAGGUGGAGAGAGAGAGAGAAGAGGUAACGAACAGAGAGGUGGAGAGAGAGAAGAGGUAACGAACAGAGAGGUGGAGAGAGGGGAGAGGUAACGAACAGAGAGGUGGAGAGAGAGAGAGAAGAGGUAACGAACAGAGAGGGGGAGAGAGAGAAGAGGU